AGUAAGAAGGAGAAUAUAACUACAAAUAAAAAAGGGUGUUUUUUGUGUUAAGUUCUAGAGAAUGUCAUGUAUAAUCCAUUUUAUGCUGAAACUCUGAAAAUUUCAUUGAUAUUGAUGCCCUUUUUGGGUGAAAUAGGAAACCAAAUUAAAACAAGAAGAGGAAAAAAAUCUGAACUGAGCAAUAAUCAUGGAAGGAAAACAUGAAGCUGUCAAAGCAUAAAAGCUGCUGCCCCCAGGGAGCCAUUUCUUGAGCAAGUUUGUUCAGAUCUUAAAGAAAAAUUAUUUCUUUGCUAUAUAGAUUCCUUUUGAGCUUAUAAACAGAGAGAAAGCUUCCUUAUUAAUAUUAGACGGCUAACAUAAUCCUGAUUCCUGACUCUAAUAGAAGUAACACCCAGAGGGUAAAAACAUAACAUAUUGCAUGUUCACGUAUUAAUGUUAAUGCACAAGAGUCCUAAAUAAAAUAGAGAACCUAACUCAGCACCUUAUGUUCCAGAAAUUCCUUUAUUAUUAUUAUAAUUUCUAAUAAUUUCAUUAAUUACUUGAGCAUUUCUUAUAUGUCUGGUGGAAUCUAAGGCAAUGGGAUAGGAAAAAGGGAAAAAGCCGAAUCGAAAAAAACCAAAGAAAUUUCCUAGUGGCAAGUCUUCUCAAUGCCUUUUAUUUGUUCAUAUACAAGAAGGAUCAACUGUCUUCAGUCUUUCCAAAUUUAGUUGAUUAUAAAAUCUUUUUUAAUGCCAGAAAUAAUGUGAUUUCUAACUCAGUUUGAGAAACACUCGAUAAUGUCAACAGAUGAAAAGGAGGAAAGCAGGUAAUCAUUUUGAUGGAUGGUAAAACAGCGGUUGACAAAAUUCAAUGUUCAUUCUGUUAAAACACUUUGGAGGUACACUCCAAAGUGAGAGCCAACCUAAAAUUUCACAAUGAUGGAUUAGAGGCAUUCUUGCUUAAGUCAGAAAAAGAAAAACAAAUUAGCAUGCUUAUGUAGGAAUGCUUAAAUAUUCUCACUGGGGCACUGAUGCAAGAAAAGAAAUAACAGACACAAAUAUGGGGAAGGAAAAUAUACAAUGUUAAUUUAUAAUGAUCAGUUAUCAGAAAAAGAACUCGAAAGAGCCGAAGUAAAUGUUGAAAUCUUAAGAAUAUUCAAUAAGUUGUUCAGUUAGCAAAGACAAGAUCAAUCACAAUGAUGUACAGCAGAAAUUAACACAACAUUGUAAACUGACUAUACUUCAAUAAAAAUAUAUAUAACCAAGAAAUAAACCAUUAGGAAAUGGAAAAAAUUAUCUCAUUUUCAAUAACCACAAAAUAUAAGAAAUAAAUAGGAAAAAAGUAAAAGAAGGAUCCUGGACCUAUUUGAACAAAAUGCUUCAACUCCACUGAGGGCCAUAAAUGAAAAGUUGGACAGCCAGAGACACAACAUGAAUCUGACAAAAUAUACGUGAACAUAAUUCAACAGCAAACUAUUUGCUAAUAAAAAUAUUUUCCAUAUAUACUACAAAGGGUAAAUCUCCUUAAUACAAGACUUGAUAAGAAAAAAAUUAAUACAAUAAAUGGCAAAGCUUCAUUAACACAACUUGGAAGAUAAGAGAAAAUUAACCAAUUGACACACGAAAAUAUGCUUAACUUCAUUAUUCAGCAAAAGAAUGCAAACUGAUAAUAAUGAGUUACCAUGUUUUAUCUAUUAAACUGUCAACUAUUACAAAAUAUGAUGAUACUCAGUGGUUAGGGUGAUGUAGGGCACAGAUACAUAUGACUUCUGGGAAAAAAACUGGAACUGUUUUUCAGUGGGCAAUGUAACAUUAUAUACUGCAACAUCUUUAAAUACCUUGGAUGCCAUUGCUAAUGUUUUACUCUGAAAAUUUUUAAAGAUCUGUGAAAGGCUUAGCUAUGAAAUUUCUCUCAUGGUAUUUUAUUUAGAGUGAAAAUUUGGAGAAGCAUAAAUGUUCACAAUAGGAAAUUGGUUAAAAACACUUUUUAUACAGAAAUACUUUAUUCUGUCAUUAUUAAUUAUACUAUGCAUGAAAUUUUGCGAUCUAGAAAUACUCUCCUGAUGUAUUCAGAAGAAUAGACAGGUUAAGAAACAUUAAAAAGAGAUUGACAGCGUCUAAGAACAAGAUAGAGAGAUACACAGAGAAGAUUCAAAUGAAUAUAUGCACAGCUGUUAAAUGUAGCUAUGUGAAGGAAUUUGGGGUGUGUUUUAUUUUGUGUUUCAAUUAUCUGUAAUUUUUUUACAAUUAAUAUGCAGUAUUUAUAACAACAUCAAAAAGCAGUAAAAUGUAUCAUUUCAAUUGUGAAUAAUAUUACAGCAAAAUAUCAGUGACGGUUAUCUCAGGAUGAGAGGGCUGUGGAACCUUUCCAUUUAUGUUUUCAUUUGUAAACUUUUUUUGGGUUCCUUUUAAUGAACCGGUAUAACUUCUGCAAUUAAAAAAAAAGCCAAAUACUAUUUAAAAAAAAAAAAAGCAACACCUAGAUGCUCUCUGUUGCCAUUAGAGUCCAAAGUUCAUUUGAAAGUAUGUAAGUUUCUUCAUGAUCUGGCCCUUACUUCCCAGAAGACAUCUCUCUUACUAUCUCCUCCACCACAGUCCAAGGCGGGACAGAACUACUUUCAGUUCUCUAGAAAGACCAAAGCUCACUCUCUCGCUCUGGGCAUUUGCUCCUGACCCCAUGGACCUUCCCACUUCUCACAACUCCUUCUACUGGAACCUUCCCACCCCCUCACCCUUCACCACACUGCUUGGUGAGUCAGGUGCUCCCUGCAUACCUACAUCAUUGCAUUAAUCACAUACCAUUUUCUCUUUGCUUGUCUUUCUCACUCACUGGAUUCUAAAUUCCCUAGAGGGAAGCACUUAAUGAGCGAUCAACCAUUAUUGUUAUCAAAGGAGGUAAUGAAUGAGUAAGAGAAUUAAUGGAACCAGCCUCUGUGUAUCAGAUCCUGCUGCUGACACCUCAGUUACUUUAUCUCACUGAAUCCUAACCAAGAUUUAGGAGGUAGGUAUUAUUAUGCCGCCUUUCCAGAUAAGGAGACUAAGAAUCUAGAAAUUUGGUUUGCCCUCUGUAGCCCCUAGCAUAUAGUGAAUGCUAAUAAUUACUGAAUAACAGAGUAAAAGAGCACUCAUCGUCUGUGGCCAUUUCUGUAAAGUCAAAACUAAGUGAAGAAAUGUGCUUGCUAGUUACCUGGGUAAUUAAAACAAAAAUCACCUUGCUAUAAGGAUGAGGUUGAGAGUGGAAAUAGAAACAGGUUGUUUAUUUUACUUUUUUCUUUUUGUCCUGAAUUAUCUUAAAUGGCUACACAGAGUGCUGGAAUUCAUCUACGUUGAAACCCCUUGAGAAUUUUUAUAGGUUGAACCAGAACAGAAUAAUGAAAUGAACCCUCCUAGGCAGGAAGGCAGAAGCAGACAUGAAAGAUGAUUUCUCUGCGUUAUUUGGCCUUUAUGGAAAGAACCACGAUAAGCUUCUAGAAAAUACAUUAUUUAUGUGAUGCAAUAAGGUGAGCUUUCUUUCUUCUUUUCAAAUAAUAACUUAUUUUAUAUUAACCAUGGUAUGAAACAUUGCCACUAAAGUUGUUCCUCAGAACAAGUGAAUUGUAUUUGAUCUCAUACCCUGACCUUUCCAUCUAUUUCCAUAAUUCGCAUCUUUCAUCAGUGAAGCUUUAUUCGUGUCAAUAUUCCAUUUCUAGUUCAGCAUGGAUUCAAUGGAUUCAAGAAAUUUUUCUCUCUUGAAUCACACCCUUUGUUCCCUACAUUUAGUUUUCUUUGGUUUCCAAGUGAUCCUUGGUCAAUUCAUGCUUACCUCUGUAUUUCAUUCCCUUCUACAAAAAUAACACCCUUUAGUUGUGCAACAGUUGAGAAAAUAGAUGUUUGCAAGUAAUUUUUAUUUUGUUAAUAAAUAAUAUUUAUUUAUGCAAGAUUGUUAUUGGAGCACCAGGACAAACAAAUUCAAAAUUCAAAUAAGGAGAUUUUUAUUCAGGAUAUCAAUUUAGAGGAGAAAGUUAAUUAGGACUUGAUAUAAAAUUUACAAAUCUAAAUCACACAAAUAUGAAUGUUCUUCCCCAGUGACAUUUGGUAACAAUUUAGGCGCUGACUCAUAAAUGCAUACAGAGCAAAUGUUCAUUUUCUUCCUUCUCACCAUGGAAAGCCUCUUGUGUGCCAGGUGCUGUGUUAGACACAGACUCUUUCUGUUGGAGUUCGUGGUCUUGGGGCAAGACAGACGAAAUCACACUAAUGAGUGUAUAAUUACAAGCCAAGGAACAGCACUAGACCAGCAUUUCAUGGUGUCGGCUGUCUCCCUCCAGAUACUCCUCUCCCACCACCAGAGACCUUAGCAUUCUUCAUGUCCCUGCUCCUACCAUCUCACCCUCUGCAGGAGGGCUCCCAAUUCCCUUCCAGAUUCUUGUCACUCUCUCUGGACUUCUGUCACCUGUAUCAAGUCUGAGGUCAUCUUCAGCCACUUGGACAUUUCCCCACAGACCCAGCACAAUACAGGGCAUGUAACUGGUUUCCAAUAAAUAUUGAUUGCGUUGACUUUAAAGGCGAUGGUCUGUAACUUUAUUUGCAGCUAACCUUAAUAAUCUCUGGAAGUUUCUCCUGGAAGAUGGGAAAAUCACAUUUCCGUGGUCUAACACGAAAUUCAAAGGCAGAAAACCCAGCAUGGCUGUCUUGUAAGUGGCCCCUGUUACUCCUGGUGCCUGAUUAAGAACUUGCCUGCCCAACCAGGUUAUGUGUGUAUGUUAGACCCGACUGGGAGAAUGAAAUGAUGCUGGACAGAAAAAGUCCCACUGAUUUUGCUUCAUGCACCUCAGCUCAGCGGCUGGGCCUGGGUGCCAGCCGCACCCAUUGAAAUAGUAACCAGAGUCCUGAGUGUUUUGAGAGGAGCUGUGGACUUGAGAGGCAUCUGUUUCAAAGGCUCCAGUGGUUGCUCUGGGAGAUGCACCUGCUGAGAUGCCAUUUGAAAUUCCAGUUUCUUAACAAACGUCCUCUCACUGGCUGAAACCACAGCUCCAGCAGACUCCAGGGGGCUGUCUGCACUGCCCUCAGGUUCACGGCUAGCAGGUCUGCUCUGCAGGACUCUAGAAAUGCAGUGCCUGUGUCUUCCUUAAUCCCUUAAUUGGCUCUGAGGAGAUUCCAUCCUCCUGAAAAGGCCACAGGGAGAUAGGGAGCAGUGGUGAAAAAAAAAAAAGCAUCCUGACUAUUGAAAUGAUACUCAUUUAUUCCAUGAGCACUUAACACCAAAAUGAAAACAAACAUAAAAUUACAAAGUAGUUUAUGUCCUUUUCCUUAUUUAAUAUUGCCAACAUUGUUCUUCACAGCCGCAUGCUGCCUUCCUUCAAAAGGUCCCAAUGCACUUCUCAGAUGUCAUGUGGACACAGACAUCCCUGACAAAAGAGCAGAGACUGCUAAGUGGCGUAUCCUGCCCUUGCCUCAACAGCCUUCUCCAAGUUCAGCAUUUGAAUGUGAGGAUGGAAAAAAAUGGUAAAGAGAGGAGGAGAUCGAAGCAGCUGCACCAUCUCAUUAACCUUCUCUCGGCACCCCCAGAGGAGAUGGCAGGUCACCUGGGGAUCUUGGGAGCGUGCAGACCCCACAUUCUGCAUUCGUGACAGGCUCCCAGGUGGUGCCGGUGCUGCAGGUCCAGGAGCCACACCUUCUCUGCCUGUUCGGAAGCUCUGAGAUCUCUCCUUGCAAGAGCAUCUUCCCCAUCAGCCUGCUUCAGUUUCUGUUAGCAGAGCAUCACUGGCAGCCACUGGUGCCCAUAAAGACAGUGGGAGAUGAGCUGGGAUUCCAACGUCUGUGAACCAGGUCCCCAUUGGAGCUGAUGUGGCAGUUGGAGCCAGAACGUUGAAGUCAGUAAGACAGAGCCACGCCUCUUCAAGGUGCAGUGAGGCAGAGUCACUUCCGAGGGGAGGUAAAAAGUCUUCACAGGUAGGAGUAUCAGUCUACUCAUACUGUUCUUGAAAAGAUGCUCAGAAAAAGGUUGAUGAAGACAUCAGAACACACAGUUAGUUUAGAGCCAUUUAGCCAUUUUUUCUGUAGUCAUCUAGAAGGUCAUUAGAAUUGUCAACAGCUGAUGUCGCAUGCCAGUUUGUUUGCAGAACUCAAUUACCACACACAAAAGCCCUCUCGUCUCAGAUCAGUUUACUUGCCUGCCAACUUUCAGAAAAGAGAAACAGAUGUUUCUCAUGCUCUGACUUCAGUGGGCCUCCAACUGACCCCUCCAGCAGCAGAGACCUGGUCUCAGCCCAAUGGGGGCCUUUGAAGCAAAGUCCUAGCUCCCCUCUGGCAUCCGGUCCACCCUCCCCACCUGACCCCACCCCCUCGGCUCUGAGGCUCUCAGGUCCAGUCGGUGCUUAGAGGAACCAGGUCUUUCCUAAAUUUUUUCUUUUUUAAAAGACAGAGAAAUGAUAUUUUUCCCCUCGUUUCGAAAAUAACCAAGAGCUGCAGUGCUAACUCUCAAGGUGAACUUGGCUGAUGGAGGCAUAAUUGUGGACUCUGUGACCUGCCAGCUUGAGUGACAGGAUGUUUACAGUCAUUAGGAGACUCUGAGAAUUGAGACUCUGAGUUUUGAAGGCCUCUGUAGAUUUCUUGAUUUUUUUUGAGUGCUUCAAAGUCGAGUGGUUUUUUCUUAAGGGCAUCAUUUAGGAAUCAUCUAUCUUACAUUUCCUAAUCUGGGUAUUUAAACUUCUAUGUCAUUUAUCAAUACAGUAGAGGCACUAAUGAUUAAUAAUUAUAAGUGAGGAGCUGUAAAGGUUCAGAGUGUGCAGUCACUUAGAGAGGCAGCGCAGCCCAGGGAUCAGGGGCCCAGGCUCCAGAGCCAGCCUGCUGGGUGACCUUGGGCAAGUGACAACCUCUCUGAGCCUGUUUUGCCAUUUGUAAAAAGCACAUGAGAAAAGUACCUCUUCACCUGAUUUUUGUGAGGCCUAGAACAGUGGGGAAUAGGUGAGAGCUGAUGGUAUGAAUAAUUUUUCAGAAGCACAAAUUUGAAUCACACGUGCUGUGGGACUGACAUGCAAGAGCUCAUCCCCUGCCUUAAGAGACGGGCUGUGGGAGGUCAACAAGGAAAGAAUGAAUACAUUAAUAAUGAUGCUGGGACAGUUGGUGACCCCUGUGGGGAGAAAGUGAAAAUACAGCCCUACUUCUCUACUCUCAUAUACAAAAAUCAAUCGUAGACAGAAAUAAAUUAAGUACUUAAAUAUAAAAGGUAAAACAAUUUUUUUAGAGGAAAACAGAGAAUAUCAUUAUGGCCUUAGCAUAGACGAGGUUUUUUUUUAAGCUAAAAAUAGAUCAAAUUAUGUUUUAAAAGCUAUUAAUAAACUCAACUACCUUAAAAUGAAGCACUGCGGCUCAUUAAGAUACCACAGAAUAUUGAAAAGAGAUUUGUAACACAUUUGACUGACAAAAGAUUCAUACCUAGAAUAAAAGAUUUUAAAAGACGAUCUCUUCAAAUUCUUGAUAGUCAUCAAGCCCAUAAAUCAAUAAGAAAAAAAGUAAACAACCUAAUUUACAAAAUGAGCAAAAGACCUGAACAGGGUAUUUCACAGAAGAGGAAACACGGAAGUUAAUGAACAUACGAAAAUAUGCUCAAUGUCAUUAGUAGACAAGACAAUGCAAGUUAAAAUCACAAUGAAAUGCCAUUUCACACCCACCAAGUUGAUAAAAUACAAAGCAUGGCUGGACAGCAGUGAUCAGAUGCACUGCCAGUGGGAGGUGCAGGGGUAUAACCAUUUGUAACACAAUUAGGUGUUGCCAAGUAGAGUUGGAUACCUACAACCCUACAUCCCAGAGAGUCCACUCCUAAGGGUAGAUUCCAAACUUUGCUGCAUGUCACAGUCACCUGGCAUGCUUUUAGAAAUCCUGAUUCCCAGGCUGCCACCCAAAAUAAUUUAAUAAGAAUCUCUAGGGGUGGGAGUAAGGCAUCGGUAUUUUUUUUAAAAAUUCAGAUUAUUCCUAUGUGUCACCAAGCUCCCCAGCCAGUAGUACCCCCUGCCUGUGACCUUUAGCUAUUCCUCAGAUGGUGCUGAAGUGGAGGAUGCUCAGAUUUGAUGGGACUCCUGGAAGGCUGCAAGCACGGUGAGCAAAAUCCCACACAGGUUUCCCUUCCACGGGCACCACGUGCAGGAAAGGGGUCCUCUCCACUCUGGGUCUCUGCCUUUUGUGCCACAUAGAAAGCAAAGUCCUCCAGGAGCCCCACUGGUCCAAAGUGUAGCCAUGACCGUCUUUCCACACACCGGUUGGGUAGCUCUGCUCAAAUUGUGCAGGCUGAGGACGGGGCUGGUAGGGCUGAGGCUGGGCAGUUCUGGCGGGACUCCCAGAACCUGCAGCCUUAGUCAGGGGUCUCUAAAGUGGGGGCUUCCCACGGUUUGUAGCUGACAUUCCCUUUCGUGACACCCAUACAGCCGCAGAGUGACUGCUCUAACCAGACAGGCCUCCUCAGAAAAUAAGAGUUUCCUCAUUAUUUUGUAACAGUUGAUAUAAAAAAUUGCAAUUAAGUUUGAAAUCCAGUUGCAUUACCAAGGGAUUUUUCAACCUAACAUCUGUCAAUGAAAGGAAAGGAAGAGCUGUUUUAUUCUUUAAGUCUUCUUUUUGAAUUAUUACAUGGUUUUAAACAUUUUUAUUCCCUACCUUGAGAGUAGUGGCUUUUGUCCAUAGUGACUAUCAAGAAUUUAAAGAGAUCAUCAUUUAAAAUCUUGAUCAAAAUUGCAUGCAACCAUUGCAUGCAUAAAGCCUGAUUUUUUAGAAAUGUGUGUUCGAGGAAGAAAUCUCAAGUUUCUCUUUUUGAAAAAUGUGAAAAGAUUCUAUGUAGCAGUGUUAUACUUUUUCCUAAAGUAAUUAUGUAAUAUUAAAAAUCAUUUUCUUAAUAUAAUUAUGUAACAUUAAAAAACAGUUCUUUUUUCACCAAUACCUGUGGAGGUUCUCCCAAAUUCAGCUCACCCCAAAGCACUAAACAAAUACCAUCUUUUGCAAUGUGGGCCAUGACAGCUCAGGAAGCAUGGCUUUAAAGAGAAACUUUUGCAUGAAAAAGCAUGAAAGAAUGUAUUUUAUUGUGGCAUUCUUCUUAAUAGUAAAACAAACAGAAAAUCACCCAAAAGGUCACCAUCAACAGAAUGGAUAAACACUUGCCCCUUCAACGGAAUAGGACACGGUAGGGAAAAUCAGUGACCUACAGCAACACGGCACCAUGAGUGAAUCUCAAAAGCUUUACAUUAAGCAAGGGGAAAAAAGCAAGUCACAGAAGAAAAUGUACAAAGUUCAAAACUAGGCAAAACCAAACCCUAAAAAGGGGGUGGGGUGGGGGGAGAAGGGAUUAGAAAGAUUUAGAGUUACCAACUUGCAUAUGUAACAGCGAAACUAUUUUGCAAUCAUUGCAUUUUAUUUUGUCCUCAAAACCCACUUUUCACUGGCUGAGAGACUCUAGAACUUUGCAUUUCAAGGUAAACCUUUGCCUUCUGGCUUUUUGCUCAGGCUUUCCUUUGGGCAAACAUUUCACCCUGCUCCCCACCUGUCUGCUGUUUCUCCCCGCCUCCUCGGACGUGAGCUUACUUCCUGGGGCGCGGAGGUUUAAGUGCAGCCUGAGGGCCCCCAUCUUCUCCUCCAUGUAGGCCCAUCAGGUGCUGACAGCCACGACAGUGUUACUGGUCCUGCCAGAUCUUUGCUCACAGCCUUCUGACCCUACUGCAGCAAAUGGCUGAAACACUCGCCUGAGCUUCCCUGCCCUUUGCCAGUGAAUCCAGCUUGACCGACUAUCCCUGAAGAGUCAGAAUGGGCUCUUCCAUCAUAUUGAAUUCUUCCCCAUUCUCUAAAAACUGAAAAACCCUUUUUCUUUCAAAAUCUUGGCUCUGGCUCUAUGACCAGAAGUUUUCAAAAUAGUUGACUCUACGCAGAAACUUGGCUGAUCUGAGUCCGUCCUCUCCCGGAGCACUGGAUGACUCAGUGGGGGGAGAGCUGGGGCAACAAGCAAACCGAGGAAAGGAGGAACAUCUGUUGUUUUCUCGGAACCGAAUCUCACCACAGCAGAACCCACGGCACCACGAGAGCUUAGCAAACAGCUUUACAAGUUUAAAUAAUGCUUUAUUUACCUCAUCCUUUGGGAAAUCUACAGAGGGUUUUUUUUUUUCUUUCCAACAGAUGUUCACUACCUGAAACUCCCACUUUUUGUUUUUAAUGUAGCAAUUCUUGAUGGAAAUAUUUUUACCAGAUAUUUAUUCUAAAUUUAUUCCAUGUAUAAUCCAGAAGAUAGUGACUUGAUUUUCCAAAGGUUAUCUUCUCAAGAAUAUCAAUUAUUAUCCCAUUCAGUAGCUCUGGGGGUUGUCAUGGGUGAAGGAAAUGGCCAGGAUGACUUGACUUUUCACUACAGCCUCGCCUACCUGCUCCUCUUUCUUCCAUCAGCUGCUCUCAGGGCUGCCAGCCCUGUCAAUCAGAAGCGGUACCCAGCACCCAUUCAGUCCAUAGCAGGUAGACCUCGCUUCUCUAGAUGUGGUCCUGGGACCAGCAGCAUCAGCAUCACCAAGGAACUUUUCGAAAUGGAGAAUCUUGGGGCCCUUCCCAGAUACACUGAAUCAGAGUCUGCAUUUUAUCAAGAUCCCAAGGUGAUUCGUAGGCACAUUAUAAUUGGUGAAGUACUGCUCCAAAUUCAGCCCUGCCUUCAUUCCCAAGAUAUGUUAAUUCCAUCCAGGCUGAGACCUGAGCCACUCCUCCCCUCUGUGACCCACACAAUCCUGAUUUAGAUGACUGUGGACCAGCACUGGGUCAACAUUACUAGGUACAGAACGGUUUCCAGUAUAAGAUGACCUAGUACAAUUGUCCCUAACCCAGAGUCUGGCCUGAUGUUGGGACAGUAACUCGGGGAAGCAGCUGAGGGGAAAAAGAACACAGUGCAAAGAGCAGCCUGAGACACUUUUACGUACAGAAACCCCAUCAGCUCUAUUGCAAUGACCAGUCAUUGCACGCGUGGUCACACACACACACGCACACACACACACAAACAA